CUGCGCACGGCCACAAUGGGGACACUUUCUGAGAAGUGCGUCAUUAGGUGAUUUCGUUGUUGGGUGGCCAUUGCAGAGUGUACUUCCACAAGCCUAGAAGUAUAGCCUAUGACACAUCAAGGCUAUAAGAUACCGCCUAUUUCUCUUAGGCUACAAACCUGUGCAGCAUGAUACUGUGCUGAACACUGGGCAAUUGUAACAAAAUGGUAAGUGUUUGUGUAUCUAAACAUAUUUACACAUAGAAAAGGUACAGUAAAAAUAUGGUAUUAUAAUCUUAUGGGACCAAGGUGAUAUAUGUGGUCUGUUGUUGACCAAAACAUUAUGUAGUGCAUGACUGUAAUUGUAUUUCUUAAAAGACUAUCUGAAACUAAUUAGUCAAUAUAUUGAGGUAGCAUUUAUGUAAUCUUGAUGGUGAGUACAUAGGUGUCUGUUAACUUAUUGUCUGUAUGUUUGAAAUAUUUUAUAAGUAAAAAUACAAUUUAGAAAAAGGUGGCAUUCAGGCAGUGAUUGCCCUAAAUGAAACCUAAAACGAUCCACAGAGCUUUAAAUGCUAUUAGAGGAAUAGGUUCAUUGAUUCCAUAAAUAUUUAUUGAUUGCCUUCCCUACAGUAAGUGUUGUGCUAGGUGCACAUGAAACAUUAAUUGAACCUUGCCCUUGGAUUCACUUGCGGGCCAUAUUACAGCUGGCAGUGAUUAUGAAGGUCCUUGGAAGUCCAGGUUAGUGUUACCUUAUGCUGAAUUCUGCUCUAUAUUAGGCCAUCUUGUAGGACCUUUUCAAGUGUACUUUAUCUUGAUAUAAGCCUGGAAAAGCACAUUAUAAUAGCUAAUAAGACCUAACGUAACUUAUAGAAUUCUAGGCAUAGCCCUAAGCCUUUGCAUGCAUUAUGUCUUUUUAUCCUCACCACAACCUUAUGAGGUAGGUACUAUCAUUACCCUCAUUUUAUAGAUAAAGAAACUGAGGCACAGGAGGUUAAUUAAUUUGAGUUACGUCACCUAGCUAACUAGUAGAGCCAAAAUGUUCACUUUGUCAACUUAACUCCAAUGCACAUCACUCUUAAGGUCUCUUUUGGUCUGUCUGUCCUUGUGUAGUUACAGUUGAACUUUAAGUUCUCUGGGCAAUGCUUCAGGACACCUGUUUUAUGUGUUAUGGAAGAGCAGGAUGCUGGGUCUGGAAAGGACCCUUAAAGUUCAUCUGGUCCAGUGGAAUGGUAAGGUGUGAGCUUCAUGAGAGCAGGAGGUAUCUUCAUUCCAUCAUUGAUGAGUCCCCCUGCCAGUUACAUAGUAGUAGCUCAGUAAGUAUUUAUUGAAAAAAUGAGUGUUGAAUAAUUUUGUUUUUUAAAGCAUUUAUUCAAACCUCCAAUAUUAAACAGAUCAUAUCAGAGAUGCUCUGGUUAAAGUUUUUAAGUGGAGGUGGGGCCCAGAGUUCCACAGUCUAGAGCCUGCUCUAGAACUACCCACAGCUUGAAGGCUACUCAUCUAAUCCAGAUCCCUGCAGUACAGAUGAAGAUGCCUGAUGUCCAAGGAGGUUUAGUGUCCUAUCAAAGACCACUCUGCUAAGGAGGAACAGAGCUGACUUUUCUGAUGCCGAGUCCCAAAGUUCUUUCCCCCACCACAACAUAAGGGGGUAGCCUGGCCCCCAGACUCCUUACAACUGAGAAUAUACUUAUAGGAAAACGACAGCUGCUUGGCACAUAGAUGGUUAUGUAAUUCAAGUUACUCAAAGACAACCUUAAUUUACAUGUGAUAGCUAAACAAAGAUUUUCUGUCUCAUAAAUUAAGAAUGAGCAAUUGCAUUGUCUACUACCACAUCCCAUGAAAUACCUCUAAACUCAGAGAACUCUUUGUUGGUUUUAAAAGAUACCAAGAUCCAUUUUAUUGCUUGUUUGAAGAUUAUUCAUUUUAUGGCUGAAGGGAGAUUAUGGCACUUUUGCUAUCCUCCAGCCUUUCCCCCAUCCUCCAAGAACCUUUCACCCCACCUGCCUUGCCAUGAUGAAAAUGUUACAGGAAACACUCAGCAAGGGGUUGCUCGGAAGAAACCUGUGUGAGAAUGUGUGCCUUCGUUUGGGUAUGAGAGGGUAUCUACCAGCAGGGAUGCCCAUCCAAUUAUCUCUCCCGAAGGCGCACUCCCUAUUCUUUUAGGAGCAUAUUAAUCAUUUUUACUCUUCCACAGGCAUUUCCAGUGUUGUCAAAACAGUGCCUGCCUGCAUCUGUUUUCUUCAAUUGGCCUGGGUUCCAGGGAGUGUUUGUGAGAGAGGAGAGAACAAGAGAUUGACAGUCUUGUGUUGACAUUUUGUGGCUGUUUGGAAAUGAAAACAAUCCAGGUCUGAUGUUGUAAUUCCUCCUUUUAUGGGCAAAAAGCAAUGUCUCAGCAUGAAUGAGCAUAACCGAACACACUAGGACACACCCCAGACACACUGUGUACUCCCGGGACACUCACCAUGCUUUUAGUUACUGCUGUUGUAGAAUGAAAGGCAGAAAAGGUCUUUUAUUGAGCCAAAGAAUCAAGAAAUCUUUUGAUUCUCCAUACCCAAAUCUCCUACUCCAGUGGGAUGAAUAAAAUGUCAAAGAGAAAAAAAAAUCCUGAUUUUUUAAUUUACUAUAUAUAUAUGUCUUUUUUUCUUCUUUUCAAACUAUA
rnacentral:lncRNA from 1 species